rnacentral:rRNA from 1 species
GCGACCCCAGGUCAGGCAGGGCCACCCGCUGAGUU